CGAUACUAAUAAACAAGCAAAAAUAUAUGUAAUGAACAAAAACAUCUUCAGUCAUAAAAAAUUUUUAAAAAGGAUACUUAGGAACAAGAGAAAUCCAAUUUUGAUCAGGAAAAAAUGCUUAGAGAUAGAAAUAUUUACCAAAACAUCUUUAUUUGCGGUCUGCAAAAGGCAUGAAAGAGUGAAAUAUAUCAAAAAGGCUAAAUAACUGUGCAAGACGAAAACAAUAACAAUAAAAUAGAAAACAACUUGGCAAGUCAAAAGGUACAAAAAGGUCCUUAAAAAGGACAACAAUGAAAAAAGUUGUGCAAUGUGCAGGAAAAUUAGAGAAAGAGUGAAAUCCUCUUGUUUAUUAUCACAAACCAUGAUAAUAACAACAACAACAAAAAUAUCACAAAUUUUAAACAGUCAAAAUUUUUGGCAUAACACGUGGAGGCGUCGCGUCAGCAGCGGAAGCAUUUGUAAUGCAAUAUAGCAAUUUCCUUCGUAAUGAUGUUAGCAGCGCAAAAUAUUUCCGCCGCAUCUAUAAAGAUUGCAGUCUAUAAUAAGAACGAAAGCUAAACAUAAUUCUACAAAUUUCAUAAAACAAUCAUGCAACACUACGUAUAACGGUGUAACGCCUUCUUCUGCAUGCGGGUGUUGAACAAAUAGGAAAAUGAGGGAUUAGUGAGUGCUGGACAAAUGAAAAAUAAAUGAAACAGGCGAUGAAUAUAGCGCAAGUGGCAGUGCGCCAGAGGAAGGCGAGGGAAAAGAUGUUGGAAAAAUCUGCAUAGAAAACACAGCGACGCCGUAAGCAUUUCUGCGCACUUAAAUUUAGUGUUUGUAAAAGAAAAAUAAUAA